rnacentral:rRNA from 1 species
AACGAACGCUGGCGGCAUGCCUAACACAUGCAAGUCGAACGAAGCCUUCGGGCUUAGUGGCGCACGGGUGCGUAACACGUGGGAAUCUGCCCUUCGGUUCAGAAUAACAGUUAGAAAUGACUGCUAAUACCGGAUGAUGACGUAAGUCCAAAGAUUUAUCGCCGAAGGAUGAGCCCCGCGUAGGAUUUGGUAGUUGGUAGGGUAAUGGCCUACCAAGCCGACGAUCCUUAGCUGGUCUGAGAGGAUGAUCAGCCACACUGGGACUGAGACACGGCCCAGACUCCUACGGGAGGCAGCAGUGGGGAAUAUUGGACAAUGGGCGAAAGCCUGAUCCAGCAAUGCCGCGUGAGUGAUGAAGGCCUUAGAGUUGUAAAGCUCUUUUACCAGGGAUGAUAAUGACAGUACCUGGAGAAUAAGCUCCGGCUAACUCCGUGCCAGCAGCCGCGGUAAAGUACAGUGU